rnacentral:rRNA from 1 species
UGAGGGAAUAUUUGGGUCAAUGGGCGGGAGCCUGAACCAGCCAAGUCGCGUGAGGGAGGAAGGUCCUACGGAUUGUAAACCUCUCUAGCCGGGGAGCAACGUGCGCCACGCGUGGCGCAGUGAGAGUACCCGGAGAAUAAGCAUCGGCUAACUACGUGCCAGCAGCCGCGGUAAUACGUAGGGGGCAAGCGUUAUCCGGAUUUACUGGGUGUAAAGGGAGCGUAGACGGAACGGCAAGUUUGAAGUGAAAUACCUGGGCUUAACCCGGGAACUGCUUUGAAAACUGUCGAUCUAGAGUGUCGGAGAGGAAAG